UAUGUAAAAUUAAAUUUUUAUUUAAAAUAUAAUAAUGUGUCAAAUUUUAAAUAUAAGCUAUAGAUAUAAAAAUAUAGAACGGAACUGGAAUACUAUCAAUAGCACAAAGUUAUUGGUGUUAUUAGUUUUUUAGGCCUUGAAUUGGAGGAAUUCUACACUAUCACACUAGCACCACGUCAUCAAUAGCAAGCCAAUCACAUUCUUUUUUUUCAAACAAAAGUACAAUAAAAUAUUUUUUUACACUCAUAAUGGGACAUAUACUCCUAAAAGUAGAUAUUUUAUUGGUUUGUUGCGCCACGCCACCAAUAUACCCGUUGCAUUCUAGAAUUUUUUCUUGAAUUGAGAAAUGUGUGGUUAGGAUGAUGUGGGCCCUUUAGAGUUGAAUGAGUGGUUGGCUGAAUAGUAUAAUCUAACUGGUAAAAAUAGUUAAAAGGUUAAAUCUAACGGUGAAAAACUCGAAAAUACCAAAUCCUUGAUACUAUCGAUAGUUUCCCAGUCGGACUCUAAAAAUAUAUUAAUUAUAUAUGCUAAUUUCUCAUCUU
rnacentral:lncRNA from 1 species